GAGUUUGAUCAUGGCUCAGAUUGAACGCUGGCGGCAUGCCUUACACAUGCAAGUCGAACGGCAGCAUGGUCUAGCUUGCUAGAUUGAUGGCGAGUGGCGAACGGGUGAGUAAUACAUCGGAACGUGCCCUGUAGUGGGGGAUAACUAGUCGAAAGAUUAGCUAAUACCGCAUACGACCUGAGGGUGAAAGUGGGGGACCGCAAGGCCUCAUGCUAUAGGAGCGGCCGAUGUCUGAUUAGCUAGUUGGUGGGGUAAAGGCCCACCAAGGCGACGAUCAGUAGCUGGUCUGAGAGGACGAUCAGCCACACUGGGACUGAGACACGGCCCAGACUCCUACGGGAGGCAGCAGUGGGGAAUUUUGGACAAUGGGCGAAAGCCUGAUCCAGCAAUGCCGCGUGUGUGAAGAAGGCCUCGG
rnacentral:rRNA from 1 species